GAUAGCAUCUCUCAGCUGGAGCCAUGCAGAGGGAGAGUGUGGAGAAGGUGCCUGCCAUCUGCCAUCCCAGAGAACACCCCAUUGGGCCCCCAGAAGUGUGUCAAAUCAGAUGUCUUCCCUUCACGUCUACACUUCUAGACCAACCACUUCCUGCUAGGCCCUGCUGAGCCACAGAAGGGCCACAGAAGCCAGAGAACCAUCUAUCAGUUCUUGUAAUUGCAGGAAUUCCUGGAGAAUUAACAGACCUUUCUGAUUUAACAGCCUGCUUUUUAGCCAAAAGGGAUGGCAUCAGAAUACUCUGAUCCUUGGUUUUCCAGUGAUUUAUGGUAACUUCCAGGUUUACAGUUCUUUUGUUCAUUCACUUAGUCAGCUCCUUGUAG